CGGAAACAGGAAAUGUCAGGCAGCCGUGGCCUCCAAGCAGGACCCGGAAGUGUGGCGUUUCUUUGUGUUCUUCGGCGAACUCUUAAGGAAUAACUGUAGCUUGCGAGCUCAGGCGGGACCAUGCUGACUCGGCUGAAAGCAAAAUCAGAGGGGAAGCUUGCAAAACAGCUAUGCAGAGUUGUGCUGGAUCAGUUUGACAAACAGUAUUCGAAAGAACUUGGGGAUUGCUGGAGUAAAGUAAGGUAAAGGAAUCCCUCUCCUGCUUGAGCUGUAGAAAUGAGGGACAAAUCAAAAACAGAAGACAUAGUGAAAGUAAGGUUGAAUACCUUCUCAAUUUUAUCUGUAAAAUGGGAAUGUGCUAUAUUUUAAAACAAUGCUGUAAUAAAAAUCCUAACUUUGGAGAAUUCUAACGUUGUGAAAUUCAGAAGAUAACAAGUCCUUAAAGUCAGUGUUCUCUCUCUUGGCUAAAAGUCAGGCUUUAUUGGGCAAUUAUGAUCACCAUUACAUCUGUAUCUGGAACAGGUGCACAUGGACAGACCAAUCUAAAAGCUAAGUGGCCUUCAUGAUGGCUGUGGUUCAAAUGGUGGGGAGGGAAGGCAGUUGACGUUAGGUUGGUAGAUUGUGGGUUGUCUUUUGACCUCCAUGCUUAGCCAUACUCUAUCCCUGAAAUAAAUUCAACAAUUUCUAAAGUGACAAAUAUGACUUGUGUUUCGGUGAGUUUUUGUUUUCGAUCAGAAUGGUAGUGAAGAGGGUUUUGUAUGGGAUGCAUGAUUGGUAUAUAUGAUACCCUCUAGAAUACAAAGACAAUAUAGUCCUGUCUAGUUUACAUAAGUCUGUUCAUGGGAGAGGUACAAGGGAGGGGUACCUUAAACAUUCCAGAAACAUGCAUCAAUAAUAGGGCAUUUUAUUUAUUGCAGUGUGUGGGUGCCAGUGAAAGCCACUGGUGACUUUGGAAUUAACUUGGCAAAAGGACCAGAUAUUCAGGGCUGAGAGAAGGUUGCCAAUCUGUUUUGUACAGCUGAGAUGAAAAAGUGGGAUGACUGGAUAGUCUGGAACUUAGACAAUAAUGUUUCAAUUAUACCAUCUCUUCUGAGAUGAACUCAGUAGGUAUGUCUUUUCAUAGAACAACUUAAGCAUAUUUUGGAACAAAGAUGAAGUCUUAAUAAACUCAAGUGGGUCAAAGAUGAUUUUAGGAC
rnacentral:lncRNA from 1 species